GUGCAGCAGUCGCGAAACCUCCGCAAUACACGAAAGUGUGACGGGGCCAUCCCGAGUGCCGUCCGCUGAGGACGGCUUUUCCCCAGUGUACAUAGCUGGGGGAAUAAGGAGAGGGCAAGCCUGGUGUCAGCCGCCGCGGUAAUACCAGCUCUCCGAGUGGUGGGGACGCUUAUUGGGCCUAAAGCAUCCGUAGCCGGCUGGGCAAGUCCUCCGUUAAAAUCCAACGAUUCAAUCGUUGGGCUGCGGGGGAGUACUGUCCAGCGUUGGGGGCGGGAGAGGCCGACGGUAGUUCCCGGGGUAGGGGUGAAAU
rnacentral:rRNA from 1 species